UUAGUGGCGGACUGGUGAGUAACACGUAAGGAACCUGCCUAUUAGAGGGGAAUAACAACGAGAAAUCGUUGCUAAUACCGCAUAAGCUAGUAGUACCGCAUGGUAUAGCUAGAAAAGGAGUAAUCCGCUAAUAGAUGGCCUUGCGUCUGAUUAGAUAGUUGGUGGGGUAACGGCCCACCAAGUCGACGAUCAGUAGCCGGACUGAGAGGUUGACCGGCCACAUUGGGACUGAGAUACGGCCCAGACUCCUACGGGAGGCAGCAGUGGGGAAUAUUGGGCAAUGGGCGCAAGCCUGACCCAGCAACGCCGCGUGAAGGAAGAAGGCUUUCGGGUUGUAAACUUCUUUUAAGUGGGAAGAGCAGAAGACGGUACCACUUGAAUAAGCCACGGCUAACUACGUGCCAGCAGCCGCGGUAAUACGUAGGUGGCAAGCGUUGUCCGGAUUUACUGGGUGUAAAGGGCGUGCAGCCGGGCAUGCAAGUCAGAUGUGAAAUCUCAGGGCUUAACCCUGAAACUGCAUUUGAAACUGUAUGUCUUGAGUGCCGGAGAGGUAAUCGGAAUUCCUUGUGUAGCGGUGAAAUGCGUAGAUAUAAGGAAGAACACCAGUGGCGAAGGCGGAUUACUGGACGGUAACUAACGGUGAGGCGCGAAAGCGUGGGGAGCAAACAGGAUUAGAUACCCUGGUAGUCCACGCUGUAAACGAUGGAUACUAGGUGUGCGGGGACUGACCCCCUGCGUGCCGCAGUUAACACAAUAAGUAUCCCACCUGGGGAGUACGAUCGCAAGGUUGAAACUCAAAGGAAUUGACGGGGGCCCGCACAAGCAGCGGAGCAUGUGGUUUAAUUCGACGCAACGCGAAGAACCUUACCAGGUCUUGACAUCGAUCCAAAGCUGUAGAGAUACAGUGUGACUUCGGUCAGGAGAAGACAGGUGGUGCAUGGUUGUCGUCAGCUCGUGUCGUGAGAUGUUGGGUUAAGUCCCGCAACGAGCGCAACCCUUAUUGUCAGUUACUAACGGGUAAAGCUGAGGACUCUGACGAGACUGCCGGGGACAACUCGGAGGAAGGUUGGGACGACGUCAAAUCAUCAUGCCCCUUAUGACCUGGGCUACACACGUGCUACAAUGGUGGUAACAAAGAGGAGCGAGCCCGCAAGGGUAAGCGGAUCUCAAAAAAGCCAUCUCAGUUCGGAUUGUGGGCUGCAACCCGCCCACAUGAAGUUGGAGUUACGAGUAAUCGCGAAUCAGCAUGUCGCGGUGA
rnacentral:rRNA from 1 species